GCCGCGGUAAUACAUAGGGUGCGAGCGUUGUUCGGAAUUACUGGGCGUAAAGGGCGCGCAGGCGGAAUAGUAAGUCGGAGGUGAAAGCCCGGGGCUCAACCCCGGAGGGUCUUUCGAAACUGCUAAUCUAGAGAGGGUCAGGGGCCGGCAGAAUUCCUGGUGUAGAGGUGAAAUUCGUAGAUAUCAGGAGGAAUACCGGUGGCGAAGGCGGCCGGCUGGGGCCACUCUGACGCUGAGGCGCGAAAGCGUGGGGAGCAAACAGGAUUAGAUACCCUGGUAGUCCACGCCGUAAACGAUGAGCACUGGACGUCCGGAGGGUUCGACCCUUCUGGGUGUCUCAGCUAACGCAUUAAGUGCUCCGCCUGGGGAGUACGGUCGCAAGACUAAAACUCAAAGGAAUUGGCGGGGGAGCACGGUCAUACUGGGUUUCCUG
rnacentral:rRNA from 1 species